rnacentral:lncRNA from 1 species
UCCUAUCCUAUUGCAUGCUUUCACAGUAAUGCAGCAGCUUGGUCUUGAAGUAGUGCGGGUGUGCAGCUGUGGCAAAAUUUUGUUUUGGUUACAGUUCAGUACCACUAAUGAUGUGCAUAUUCGCUGCUCUGACCACUUAUGUCACAAGCAGUCUAUGCUGUAAUGUCUCUGCCAAAGUGGUCAUCUUUAACAGUAUGCGGCACAGUGCACAGUUAUUGAACAUAAAUUUGAUGUAGAAGUGUUUGAAUUCAUUCAAAGCUCACUGUCGUGCUUUUUCUUUCAUCUCACUUGCCUCAGUCUGGCAAAAGCACGUGUAUCAACGGCACCUAAAGAAUCUAAACAAAUGUUUGGAACAUAGGUACAACACUGAGCAAACAUUGGCAUCAUUAUUUUCUGAACAGUUGCUGACGUUGCAAAAUAUUUUCUUUGCACUCUUACAUUUACAGGUAUAAUAAUAACUUUUCUAGCUUACUGAACAGUGGAGCUUGAAUUCUAACAGUUUAGCAUUUGUUGAUUUUGCUCCAUGAACAGGUUCAGCACAAAGUGUUGCUACAGCAGCAACAACUGCGCCUGCUACUGAGUCUGCUGCCACCUCAUAUCCUGCAGCCAGACCAACUAAAUGUGCUGCCUCUUCUGGUCCUGCAGCCUUAGCAGUCACACUGCCUUCUGCCUCUGAUGCUGACAUGUCGCAGUGUUCGUUCAGCAAGGAUGAACAGCUAAGAUAAUCAAGGAUCCACAAGGAGUAUUAUAGGUUGACCAGCCUAACGGUUGGAUGCUCUCAAGGGCCGCCUCAAAAAAGGACUUUCAUUUGGUUCAGCGGUCCACCAUCGCAAUAUGGUGGACAGAUGCCCGCGUGCAUAGGAGCUUCCUGGGAACGAACCAUUUUGCAGCAGAAGGUGGCCAGAAGCCUGCACAGCAGCCAUUGUCCCCACACAAAGUGGAAGCAUAGAGAGUCUCUUCCAGGCACUACAGUGCUGCCCAAAGCCCUUCGGAAGAGGAAGCGAAACAGGCCGCCCAGAACACCAGGCUUUUGGCUGUCCCAGAAGACAUCCAAGUUGAGGCGAGGGCAGAAAAAAUAAACAGAGAAGUCAUUUUCAUUUCCAAA